GAUCCGGCUCAGGAUGAACGCUAGCGGCAGGCUUAAUACAUGCAAGUCGAGGGGCAUCACAGUAUAGCAAUAUAUGGGUGGCGACCGGCAAACGGGUGCGGAACACGUACACAACCUUCCGGUGAGUGGGGGAUAGCCCAGAGAAAUUUGGAUUAAUACCCCAUACUAUAAUGAUCAGGCAUCUGGUUAUUAUCAAAGGCUUCGGCCGCUUAUUGAUGGGUGUGCGUCUGAUUAGGUAG
rnacentral:rRNA from 1 species